UAAAGGGUCCGUAGGCGGUUUGAUAAGUCAGUGGUGAAAGCCCAUCGCUCAACGAUGGAACGGCCAUUGAUACUGUCAGACUUGAAUUACUAGGAAGUAACUAGAAUAUGUAGUGUAGCGGUGAAAUGCUUAGAUAUUACAUGGAAUACCAAUUGCGAAGGCAGGUUACUACUAGUGGAUUGACGCUGAUGGACGAAAGCGUGGGGAGCGAACAGGAUUAGAUACCCUGU
rnacentral:rRNA from 1 species